AGAGUUUGAUGCUGGCUCUGAAUGAACGCUGGCGGCGUGCCUAACACAUGCAAGUCGGAUGUGCCGCAAGGUGCAUGGCAGACGGGUGAGUAACGCGUAGGGAAUCUACCUUUUUGUGGGGAAUAACGCUCCGAAAGGAGUGGUAAUACCGCAUGAGACCGUGAGCUGGGAUGUUCACGGUGAAACCUGGGGACCGCAAGGCCUGGGGCAAAAAGAGGAUCCUGCGUCUGAUUAGCUAGUUGGCGGGGUAAUGGCCCACCAAGGCGACGAUCAGUAGCCGGCCUGAGAGGGUGAUCGGCCACACUGGAACUGAGACACGGUCCAGACUCCUACGGGAGGCAGCAGUGGGGAAUUUUGCGCAAUGGACGAAAGUCUGACGCAGCAACGCCGCGUGGGUGAUGAAGGUCUUCGGACUGUAAAACCCUGUCGUCAGGGACGAAGGUGGCAGUGUUAAUAGCGCUGUUACUUGACGGUACCUGGAGAGGAAGCCCCGGCUAACUCUGUGCCAGCAGCCGCGGUAAUACAGAGGGGGCAAGCGUUAUUCGGAAUUAUUGGGCGUAAAGGGCGCGCAGGCGGUUUUGUAAGACAGACGUGAAAUCCCCGGGCUUAACCUGGGAACUGCGUUUGUGACUGCAAGACUAGAGUGUAGCAGAGGGGGGUAGAAUUCCACGUGUAGCAGUGAAAUGCGUAGAUAUGUGGAGGAAUACCAAUGGCGAAGGCAGCCCCCUGGGUUAACACUGACGCUCAUGCACGAAAGCGUGGGGAGCAAACAGGAUUAGAUACCCUGGUAGUCC
rnacentral:rRNA from 1 species